UGAAACGGCUAGGGGUGCUGAUAAAUUCAGCUGAGAAAUACCCUUCGAACUUGUCAAGUCAGUACUUGCGUAAGGAAGCACGAAUAGCAAAAU
rnacentral:ncRNA from 2 species